rnacentral:sRNA from 1 species
GCUUGGUGCCAGCUACUGGUACCGUGCCCGCCUGCACCAGCGACUCUGCCAGCUCAAGGGACCCACCUGCCAGUACAGGGCAGCCCAAUCUGGUCCCCCUGAACGGCCAGGACCUCCGCAGAGGGCCCUGCUGGCACAAGGCACUAAGCAGUGACCCCAGGAGGGCACAAGGGCAGUGGUGCUCAGAAUGGCCUUCCGUAGGCCCAGGUCACCAUGUUAGAAGGGCUGGUGAGCAUCCCCACCCUGAGCCCUCUGCUUGGAUGAUGGGAGUGUGUGCACACCUCCUCCCCACUCGCUCCCCACCUGCAUGCACCUGCAUAACUGCAUGCACAGCACCCACUGCCCUGGGCCCCCGCCGGCCCUCCCU